AUUGAACGCUGGCGGCAGGCCUAACACAUGCAAGUCGAGCGGAUGAAGGGAGCUUGCUCCUGGAUUCAGCGGCGGACGGGUGAGUAAUGCCUAGGAAUCUGCCUGGUAGUGGGGGGUAACGUCCGGAAACGGGCGCUAAUACCGCAUACGUCCUGAGGGAGAAAGUGGGGGAUCUUCGGACCUCACGCUAUCAGAUGAGCCUAGGUCGGAUUAGCUAGUUGGUGGGGUAAAGGCCUACCAAGGCGACGAUCCGUAACUGGUCUGAGAGGAUGAUCAGUCACACUGGAACUGAGACACGGUCCAGACUCCUACGGGAGGCAGCAGUGGGGAAUAUUGGACAAUGGGCGAAAGCCUGAUCCAGCCAUGCCGCGUGUGUGAAGAAGGUCUCCGGAUUGUAAAGCACUUUAAGUUGGGAGGAAGGGCAGUAAGUUAAUACCUUGCUGUUUUGACGUUACCAACAGAAUAAGCACCGGCUAACUUCGUG
rnacentral:rRNA from 1 species